CCGAACCGAUACCGGAGGACAGGCAAUCGUGCCUGUGGGGAUUUACCUGCUCUGGCAGGCGGCUGCAUUCGUGCAUCACCGUACCCCGUCAAACCUCAUCUGCGCAUCUUCCGGCGCACCGGUAUCUUUCG
rnacentral:ncRNA from 1 species